rnacentral:misc_RNA from 1 species
GGAGGAGAGAAAACAAAGAGAGCUGAUAAAAAUGUCGAAGCGAGGAAGAGGUGGAUCUGCUGGGAACAAGUUCAGGAUGUCGCUGGGUCUGCCAGUGGCUGCGACGGUGAACUGUGCAGACAACACAGGAGCGAAGAAUCUUUACAUCAUUUCGGUGAAAGGAAUCAAGGGCCGCCUCAACCGUUUGCCGUCAGCUUGUGUUGGAGACAUGGUGAUGGCCACCGUGAAGAAAGGGAAGCCGGAUCUCAGGAAGAAGGUCAUGCCAGCCGUCAUCGUCAGGCAGCGCAAACCCUGGCGCAGAAAGGAUGGCGUCUACAUGUAUUUUGAAGGUUGGCUCCCCUUUCAGAUACAACUGCCCGGUUGCUGCUUUGCUUGAUUUGAGAUUUUCACUUUUGUGUCUGGUAGAUUCCGCGUUUAAUAGAACAUUUUGUGGAGAUUGAGCAUCCUAGCAUUUUUUUAGUUAAUUUUCUUGUUGCUUCCUUGAUAAUGGAGUGGCCAUUUUAAUUUAUUAGUCACUGAUAAUAAUGAGAAGCAUAUAUAAAACAAACUGCCAGUUUUAAACAGCAUGAUGUGCUUCUUAGCAUUGUGCUACCUGUCUACUGGUAAAUUCUCCUAUCGCUGUAGGUUUUGUUCUUAGUCAGGAUUCAUGAAAUUAAAUAGCCUUUAAGAACUCUAUUAAGUGAACUUGGUUUUCUAGUAUGUGUGAAAAUUAAUGAAGUGCAUUUGGGUCAUGCUCCUCUCCUUCAUAGGUUGCGUUAGUUUUCUUUCAGCUAAAGACUUGCUGCUUCCAUUUUUUAAGCGUCUAUUUAUUCUAAUUGGUGUAUGAUCGAGUAAUCUUGGUUGUCAUUCUGCAUUACCCGGACAAAAGAAAGACAAUUGGAUUCCUUGCUUCCAUUUGUUUUCAUUCUGCUUUUGUGUAUGUGGUGGAGGACAUUGUCAUUGGAAGUAGUAGUAUUGGUUGCACGUUUAAUUUGGUGCUGUUAUUUAUGUUGGAUAAUUUGCUUUUCUGUAUUCUGCCCUUUUCUUAAAAGAAAUUUCUUCUCUUAAAGGUUGAAAAUUUUUAAAAUUCUAAAUCCAAGCUUAUUGUUUUUGCAGACAAUGCAGGUGUCAUUGUGAAUCCCAAGGGGGAGAUGAAAGGAUCUGCUAUUACUGGGCCCAUUGGCAAAGAGUGUGCUGAUUUGUGGCCAAGAAUUGCUAGUGCUGCCAAUGCUAUCGUCUGAGAGUGAAGAACAACUGACUUGUUUUCAUAGUUUGUUUGUGGCAAAAGGUUAUAUGAUGCCCUGGAUGUAUUAUUUUGCUUUUGAGGUUUCUUUUAUGUUGGGGCAGAAUGAAAUGUGUCGGAUAAGCAAUUGUUUUCCUUUUAUAAAUUUAUGUUGGCGUGUUUCAGAUAAGAGAUUGUUAAGAUGUCAUGAUCACUCUAGCCACUGGACAAGGAUACUGAAAAUGAUUUAUUUAGAUCAAAACCUCCUGGCAUCUUCUCGUCGCAGUAGUGUAACUGGGCCCGAUCCAUUAUGUCUUAAAGCCGGUGAGAUUAUUAUGGAUCAGACUGGAAAUACUGGAGCUUCUGGGGCUUUCUCUUUGGUUGGUAUCUGGCACUGGCAGGGUCCUCCAAAAGGGUGGUUUCUAGGUCAAUGUUGAUGGUAGUUUGAAUGGAUCUGUGGGCAUUAGCUGAUGCUGGUGGGUUUGCAAAUGAUCGUGAACUUGGAUUCCUGUGAACUUCUUGCACCAAAUCAAACCAAGGAUGGAGUAUCAAGUGGAGGUUAAUAUUUAUAGUACUCGCAAAUUUGGGCAAUUGCUUGUCCAUUCACAUUUAAUGUUGAUAAGUAUUUUCCAGAUUCCUGGUGUGGGCAGUCGAGGUUCUUGCUGGGAAGUUGGAAUUCUGUUCGGUGGUGAUGAGGGCCGUGGAGGUUGUUGCUACUGGCUACUAGUAAGCAAUUAAUAACGUAUGCUCGUUAAAAUCCAACUUGUCGCUCGCUCGGGCUUGGGAUGAGGUAAAACGACUGUCGUUAGUUUUAGGUAUUAUUAUGCCCCAUUUUUCCUUCUCUUAUUUUCGAAAAAUGAAGAUUUGACGUUUUGUGCUCCCAUUCCCCGCCUUUAAACAUUUUAAUCAAAGAUUAUCAAACAAAAGAUAACAGGGACCAAGAAUCAAUCAACGAAAACUAGGGGUGGCAAAACUUCCAAAGCUCGACCUGUUCCGUUUUGAACCUAAUUAAUUUUGUUAUGAUAUAACUCUAUGAGUUAGAUUGGCAUUAAAACUUGGAUCAGCAUAAAGUUUUUGAAGUCUGUAGUAAUCCUUACUGUUUUUAAACUCGUGAUCG